rnacentral:rRNA from 1 species
UACGUAGGGAGCAAGCGUUGUCCGGAAUCAUUGGGCGUAAAGCGCGCGUAGGCGGCCCUGUAAGUCCGUUGUGAAAGUCAAAGGCUCAACCUUUGAAAGCCGAUGGAUACUGCAGGGCUAGAGUCCGGAAGAGGCGAGUGGAAUUCCUGGUGUAGCGGUGGAAUGCGCGGAUAUCAGGAGGAACACCAAUAGCGAAGGCAGCUCGCUGGGACGGUACUGACGCUGAGGCGCGAAAGCGUGGGGAGCGAGCCGG